rnacentral:piRNA from 1 species
GGUGUUUAUCACAGGACUAGAAAGU